rnacentral:rRNA from 1 species
CGGCGGACGGGUGAGUAACGCGUGGGUAACCUACCCUGUACACACGGAUAACAUACCGAAAGGUAUGCUAAUACGGGAUAAUAUAUUUGAGAGGCAUCUCUUGAAUAUCAAAGGUGAGCCAGUACAGGAUGGACCCGCGUCUGAUUGGCUAGUUGGUAAGGUAACGGCUUACCAAGGCGACGAUCAGUAGCCGACCUGAGAGGGUGAUCGGCCACAUUGGAACCGAGACACGGUCCAA